rnacentral:rRNA from 1 species
UAGGGAAUAUUGGACAAUGGAGGCAACUCUGAUCCAGCCAUCCCGCGUGAAGGAUGAAGGUCCUCUGGAUUGUAAACUUCUUUUCUCUGGGAAUAAAAACUCCGAUUUACUCGGAGCUUGAAGGUACCAGAGGAAUAAGCACCGGCUAACUCCGUGCCAGCAGCCGCGGUAAUACGGAGGGUGCAAGCGUUAUCCGGAUUCACUGGGUUUAAAGGGUGCGUAGGUGGUCUUGUAAGUCAGUGGUGAAAUA